rnacentral:rRNA from 1 species
UUGGCACCUCGAUGUCGGCUCAUCACAUCCUGGGGCUGUAGUAGGUCCCAAGGGUUGGGCUGUUCGCCCAUUAAAGUGGUACGCGAGCUGGGUUCAGAACGUCGUGAGACAGUUCGGUCCCUAUCCGGCGCAGGCGUAGGAAAUUUGAGAAGACCUGUCCUUAGUACGAGAGGACCGGGAUGGACGUACCUCUGGUGUACCAGUUGU